CGAACCGUGCGAACGUUGUUCGGAAUCACUGGGCUUAAAGGGCGCGUAGGCGGGCUGCCAAGUCUGGGGUGAAAUCCCACGGCUCAACCGUGGAACUGCCUCGGAUACUGGCGGCCUCGAGGGAGGUAGGGGCGUGCGGAACUGUGGGUGGAGCGGUGAAAUGCGUUGAUAUCCACAGGAACUCCGGUGGCGAAGGCGGCACGCUGGACCUUUUCUGACGCUGAGGCGCGAAAGCCAGGGGAGCAAACGGGAUUAGAUACCCCGGUAGUCCUGGCCCUAAACGAUGGGUACUAGGUAGUAGACUUGACAUGGGUUUACUGCCGAAGCAAAAGUGCUAAGCAUCCCGCCUGGGGAGUACGGCCGCAAGGCUA
rnacentral:rRNA from 1 species